rnacentral:tRNA from 1 species
GCGCGGGUGGCGGAAUUGGCAGACGCGCUAGACUAAGGAUCUAGUGCCCUUCGGGGCUUGGGGGUUCGAUUCCCCCCUCGCGCACCA